GCCCUUCUUACGGGAGGCAGCAGCGGGGAAUUUUGGACAAUGGGGGCAACCCUGAUCCAGCAAUGCCGCGUGUGCGAAGAAGGCCUUCGGGUUGUAAAGCACUUUUGUCGGGGAAGAAAUCUUUCGGGCUAAUACCCCUGGAAGGAUGACGGUACCUGAAGAAUAAGCACCGGCUAACUACGUGCCAGCAGCCGCGGUAAUACGUAGGGUGCAAGCGUUAAUCGGAAUUACUGGGCGUAAAGCGUGCGCAGGCGGUUUGCUAAGACAGUUGUGAAAUCCCCGGGCUUAACCUGGGAACUGCAAUUGUGACUGGCAGGCUAGAGUACGGCAGAGGGGGGUGGAAUUCCUGGUGUAGCAGUGAAAUGCGUAGAGAUCAGGAGGAACACCGAUGGCGAAGGCAGCCCCCUGGGCUAGUACUGACGCUCAUGCACGAAAGCGUGGGGAGCAAACAGGAUUAGAUACCCUGGUAGUCCACGCCCUAAACGAUGUCAAUUAGUUGUUGGUCCUUCAUUGGAUUAGUAACGAAGCUAACGCGUGAAAUUGACCGCCUGGGGAGUACGGUCGCAAGAUUAAAACUCAAAGGAAUUGACGGAAGGGC
rnacentral:rRNA from 1 species